UACGGAGGGUGCGAGCGUUAAUCGGAAUUACUGGGCGUAAAGCGCGUGUAGGCGGUUUGGUAAGUCGGAUGUGAAAUCCCCGGGCUUAACCUGGGAAUGGCAUUCGAUACUGUCAGACUAGAAUGUGGUAGAGGAAAGUGGAAUUCCCGGUGUAGCGGUGAAAUGCGUAGAUAUCGGGAGGAACAUCAGUGGCGAAGGCGACUUUCUGGACCAACAUUGACGCUGAGACGCGAAAGCGUGGGGAGCAAACAGG
rnacentral:misc_RNA from 1 species